AUGAACGCUGGCGGCGUGCCUAAUACAUGCAAGUCGAGCGAACGGACGAGAAGCUUGCUUUUCUGAUGUUAGCGGCGGACGGGUGAGUAACACGUGGAUAACCUACCUAUAAGACUGGGAUAACUUCGGGAAACCGGAGCUAAUACCGGAUAAUAUUUUGAACCGCAUGGUUCAAAAGUGAAAGACGGUCUUGCUGUCACUUAUAGAUGGAUCCGCGCUGCAUUAGCUAGUUGGUAAGGUAACGGCUUACCAAGGCAACGAUGCAUAGCCGACCUGAGAGGGUGAUCGGCCACACUGGAACUGAGACACAGUCCAGACUCCUGCGGGAGGCAGCAGUAGGGAAUCUUACGCAAUGGGCGAAAGCCUGACGGAGCAACGCCGCGUGAGUGAUGAAGGUCUUCGGAUCGUAAAACUCUGUUAUUAGGGAAGAACAUAUGUGUAAGUAACUGUGCACAUCUUGACGGUACCUAAUCAGAAAGCCACGGCUAACUACGUG
rnacentral:rRNA from 1 species